rnacentral:rRNA from 1 species
UCGUCAGCUCGUGUCGUGAGAUGUUGGGUUAAGUCCCGCAACGAGCGCAACCCUUGUUAUUAGUUGCCAGCAUUAAGUUGGGCACUCUAGUGAGACUGCCGGUGACAAACCGGAGGAAGGUGGGGACGACGUCAGAUCAUCAUGCCCCUUAUGACCUGGGCUACACACGUGCUACAAUGGACGGUACAACGAGUCGCGAGCUCGCGAGAGUAAGCUAAUCUCUUAAAGCCGUUCUCAGUUCGGACUGUAGGCUGCAACUCGCCUACACGAAGUCGGAAUCGCUAGUAAUCGCGGAUCAGCAUGCCGCGGUGAAUACGUUCCCGGGCCUUGUACACACCGCCCGUCACACCAUGGGAGUUUGUAACGCCCAAAGUCGGUGGCCUAACCUUUAUGGAGGGAGCCGCCUAAGGCGGGACAGAUGACUGGGGUGAAGUCGUAACAAGGUAGCCGUA